rnacentral:rRNA from 1 species
CCUACGGGGGACAGCAGUGAGGAAUAUUGGUCAAUGGGCGCGAGCCUGAACCAGCCAAGUCGCGUGAGGGAAGACGGUCCUAUGGAUUGUAAACCUCUUUUGUCGGGGAGCAAAAGACGCCACGCGUGGCGUUCCGAGAGUACCCGAAGAAAAAGCAUCGGCUAACUCCGUGCCAGCAGCCGCGGUAAUACGGAGGAUGCGAGCGUUAUCCGGAUUUAUUGGGUUUAAAGGGUGCUUAGGUUGUUUUUUAAGUCAGCGGUGAAAGUUUGUGGCUCAACCAUAAAAUUGCCGUUGAAACUGGAAGACUUGAGUGUGUUUGAGGUAGGCGGAAUGCGUGGUGUAGCGGUGAAAUGCAUAGAUAUCACGCAGAACUCCGAUUGCGAAGGCAGCUUACUAAGCCAUAACUGACACUGAAGCACGAAAGCGUGGGGAUCAAACAGGAUUAGAUACCCUUGUAGUC